UAGUCUCGCACAGAUGCAUAUCAAUAAGCGGAGGAAAAGAAACUAACAAGGAUUCCCCUAGUAACGGCGAGUGAAGCGGGAAGAGCUCAAAUUUGAAAUCUUAAAGGGUUUCCCUUUACGAAUUGUAGUUUAAAGAAGUGUUUUCUGUUGAGGUUUUGGUAAAAGUUCUUUGGAAUAGGACAUCAUAGAGGGUGAGAAUCCCGUAUUUGACCUUUACUUUCAACUUUGUGAUACACUUUCAAAGAGUCGGAUUGUUUGGGAAUGCAGUCCAAAAUGGGUGGUAAAUUUCAUCUAAAGCUAAAUAUUGGCGAGAGACCGAUAGCGAACAAGUACCGUGAGGGAAAGAUGAAAAGAACUUUGAAAAGAGAGUUAAACAGUACGUGAAAUUGUCAAAAGGGAAGCGUUUGACACCAGUGUUGUUUUUCUGAAAAUCAAUUAGAGAACUGUUUAUGCUAAGUUGUUUAGACUUUAUCAGCUAAUCUGCUUAGUUUUGAGCUUUUCUUUAAUGCACUUUUCAGUUAACAAGUCAACAUCAAUUUCUUUUGCUGUAAAAAAGCUUGAGGAAGGUGGCUUGAGAUUCGUCUUAAGUGUUUAUAGCCUCUUGCCUAUGCAGUCGGAGAGAUUGAGGUCUGCAGCGUAGAUCCUUCGGGGCUAAAUGCAUUUGUGCUAAGUUAUAGCAUUUUAUAGACAACUUGUUGACUAUGAUUUGUCUUGUAGCUUACUCGCUUAUGUUAUUUUACCUACGCUUAGGAUGUUGACGCAUGAGAUAUACGC
rnacentral:rRNA from 1 species